rnacentral:rRNA from 1 species
UGGGGAAUAUUGCACAAUGGGCGCAAGCCUGAUGCAGCCAUGCCGCGUGUAUGAAGAAGGCCUUCGGGUUGUAAAGUACUUUCAGCGAGGAGGAAGGCGUUGUGGUUAAUAACCGCAACGAUUGACGUUACUCGCAGAAGAAGCACCGGCUAACUCCGUGCCAGCAGCCGCGGUAAUCAGGAGGGUGCAAGCGUUAAUCGGAAUUACUGGGCGUAAAGCGCACGCAGGCGGUCUGUCAAGUCGGAUGUGAAAUCCCCGGGCUCAACCUGGGAACUGCAUCCGAAACUGGCAGGCUAGAGUCUUGUAGAGGGGGGUAGAAUUCCAGGUGUAGCGGUGAAAUGCGUAGAGAUCUGGAGGAAUACCGGUGGCGAAGGCGGCCCCCUGGACAAAGACUGACGCUCAGGUGCGAAAGCGUGGGGAGCAAACA